rnacentral:rRNA from 1 species
UCCUCUGAAGAGCCGUUCGAGACUAGGACGUUGAUAGGCAAGGUGUGUAAGCGUUGUGAGGCGUUGAGCUAACUUGUACUAAUGACUCGUGAGGCUUAACCAU